rnacentral:rRNA from 1 species
UACGAGGGGGGCGAGCGUUGUUCGGAAUUAUUGGGCGUAAAGGGCGUGUAGGCGGACCUAUAAGUCUAUUCUGAAAGCUCCUGGCUAAACUGGGAGAGGCGAAUGGAGACUGUAGAUCUAGAGUGAGGAAGAGGAAAGUGGAAUUCCGCGUGUAGUGGUGAAAUGCGUAGAGAUGCGGAGGAACACCAGUGGCGAAGGCGGCGACCUGGUCCUUGACGU